rnacentral:rRNA from 1 species
UACGAGGGGUCCAAGCGUUGUUCGGAAUCAUUGGGCGUAAAGCGGGUGUAGGUGGCUUUGUAAGUCAGGAGUGAAAUCCCCGAGCUUAACUUGGGAAGUGCUUUUGAAACUGCAGAGCUUGAAUGUGGGAGAGGAUCGUGGAAUUCCAGGUGUAGUGGUGAAAUACGUAGAUAUCUGGAGGAACACCGGUGGCGAAGGCGGCGAUCUGGCCCAACACUGACACUGAGACCCGAAAGCGUGGGGAUCAAACAGG